GUGGGGAAUCUUAGACAAUGGGGGAAACCCUGAUCUAGCCAUGCCGCGUGAGCGAUGAAGGCCUUAGGGUUGUAAAGCUCUUUCAGCUGGGAAGAUAAUGACGGUACCAGCAGAAGAAGCCCCGGCUAACUCCGUGCCAGCAGCCGCGGUAAUACGGAGGGGGCUAGCGUUGUUCGGAAUUACUGGGCGUAAAGCGCGCGUAGGCGGACCAGGAAGUUGGAGGUGAAAUCCCAGGGCUCAACCUUGGAACUGCCUUCAAAACUCCUGGUCUGGAGUUCGAGAGAGGUGAGUGGAAUUCCGAGUGUAGAGGUGAAAUUCGUAGAUAUUCGGAGGAACACCAGUGGCGAAGGCGGCUCACUGGCUCGAUACUGACGCUGAGGUGCGAAAGCGUGGGGAGCAAACAGGAUUAGAAACCCUAGUAGUCC
rnacentral:rRNA from 1 species